rnacentral:sRNA from 1 species
AUGUAUAUAAUUUACGGAGCUGAUCAUCGCAUAAGCAACUGUUCUCUGCUUAAACGAAGAAUACCAGAAGCACGAAUCUUUAAAUUAUAUCCUAAUGACAAAACGAGUAGAUCUUCAUCUGCUAGUGUCGCGAUUCCUGACUAUGAAACGCAAGGCCAAACAGCAGGACAGAUAACACCGAAGUCCUGGCUCUGUAUGUUAUCUUCGACUGUUCCAGCUACCAAAUCCUCAGAAUGGAUUUUUGACACAGGAUGUACUUCCCACAUGUGCCACGACCGUUCCAUUUUUUCAUCAUUUACUAGAUCCUCUAGGAAAGACUUUGUCAGAGGAGUUGGCGGUUCCAUACCCAUCAUGGGCUCCGGAACUGUAAACAUUGGCACUGUUCAAUUACAUGACGUAUCUUACGUUCCUGAUUUACCAGUUAACCUGAUAUCCGUUUGA